CAACUUUUAGCAACGGAUCUCUUGGCUCUCGCAUCGAUGAAGAACGCAGCGAAAUGCGAUAAGUAAUGUGAAUUGCAGAAUUCAGUGAAUCAUCGAAUCUUUGAACGCACCUUGCGCUCCUUGGUAUUCCGAGGAGCAUGCCUGUUUGAGUGUCAUGG
rnacentral:rRNA from 13 species